AGGAAACUUGACUCUGUGUCGGCCUCUUCUAUCCUGCAGACAUGUCUGCUGAAGGAUUACUGGGACAACUGCUGGGAGGAGCCCAGCAACAGGGCGCCCUUCAGCAUCGGGUCUCGGCACUUUUCAGCUUGCUCAACUCUUGGAGGUGGUGAGGAGGUGGUGCUCCCAAGGGCACACCAGGGCUCUUCCCCAUCAGCACUCACACCUGGUGCUGGGGAUCCCUAGUGCAGACCCAGUGCUAUGACAUCGCACGGAGGACAUCUCGAAAGACAACUAUCGCAAACAGACACAAGAAGCAACCAAACGAAUAAAAAGCCAGAAAAUGUUGAAUUAUUACUGACUUGCUGAACUAUUCCUGAACUUUUUUAUUCAAAAUGGCAAUCUUCUGGUUGUCUGCGUUGCUUGGUUAGCAGGGUUUGGGGGCCCUGCAGGUAAAAUGUUACCCCAACAAGGCGAACUGCAAUUUCCUUAAAAAAAAAAAACAUAAAAUAAAAUAAAA